rnacentral:misc_RNA from 1 species
GAUGAAGAACGUAGCGAAAUGCGAUAAGUAAUGUGAAUUGCAGAAUUCAGUGAAUCAUCGGAUCUUUGAACGCACCUUGCACCCUUUGGCAUUCUGAAGGGUAUGCUCGUUUGAGUGUCAUUGUACUCUCACACUCCCGAUCUUUGCAUUGGGAGCAGUGGACUUGGGUUUGCUGCUUCACCGUCGCUUACCUCAAAUAGGUUAGUGCAACUCUUGGUUGGACAUAGUACGGCGUGAUAAGUGUUCUUCGCCGGUGCCUCGCAAAGAGGGUGGCCGAUCGGGAUGUUGUGCUCCAAACCGUCUUCGGACAAUCUCUGACGACUUGACCUCAAAUCGAGUAAGACUACCCGCUGAACUUAAGCAUAUCAAUAAGCGGAGGA